ACGGUGCCUCAGUGGUGUAAUGGUAGCACGCACCCUUGCUAUGGGUGAAACGCUGGUUUAACUCCCACCUGUUGUU